rnacentral:rRNA from 1 species
UUCAGCUUAACUGAUGAACUAACCAUCGAAACUGUAAGUCUCGAGCUCGGUCGAUGUCAUUGGAUAUGUAACAUGUAGCGGUGAAAUGCAUAUGAUAUGUUACUGAACGCCAAUUGGGAAGGCAGAUGUAUAAAUCGAUACUGACUCUGAGGCACGAAAGCGUGGAGAUCAAACAGGAUUAGAUACCCUGGUAGUNCACACCGUAAACGUUGAAUACUCGACGUUAGCGAUAUACAGUUAGGGUCCAAGAGAAAGCGUUAAGUAUUCCACCUGGGAAGUACGUUCGCAAGAAUGAAACUCAAAGGGAUUGACGGGGGCCCGCACAAGCGGAGGAGCAUGUGGUUUAAUUUGAUGAUCCGCGAGGAACCUUACCUGGGCUUGAAUGUUAGUGAUCGAUGCAGAAAUGCAUAAUUCCUUCGGGACACAAAACAAGGUGCUGCAUGGCUGUCGUCAGCUCGUUCCGUGAGGUGUUGGGUUAAGUCCCUCAACGAGCGCAACCCCUAUCUUUAGUUGCCAUCAGGUUAUGCUGGGGACUCUAAAGAGACUGCCUACGUAAGUAGUGAGGAAGGUGGGGAGGGUGUCAAGUCAUCAUGGCCCUUACUUCCAGGGCUACACACGUGCUUCAAUGCUCAGAACAAAGGGUUGCAACAUGGUAACAAGAAGCCAAUCCCUAAAAGGUGCGCUCAGUUCGGAUUGAGGUAUGCAACUCGACCUCAUGAAGUUGGAUUCGUUAGUAAUCGGAUAUCAGCAAUGAUCCGGUGAAUACGUUCCCGGGCCUAGUGCACACCUCCCGUCAAGCCAUGGAAGCUGGGAGUGCGUAAAGUCUGUAACCGCAAGGAGCGGCCUAGGGCAAUACUGGUAACUAGGGCUAAGUCGUAACAAGG